AUCCAUGCCAAUAUUUAAUUUAUCUUGAUGUAAAAUUCACCAAAAUGAAGAUUAGAUCACCAAAGUGCUAGCUAAUCAACCAAUAUCUUAUGUU